CACUGUGGAUACCUCCCAUGAGGACAUGAUUCACGACGCCCAGAUGGACUACUAUGGCACCCGCCUGGCAACCUGCUCAUCAGACAGGUCCGUCAAAAUCUUUGAUGUGCGCAAUGGAGGGCAGAUCCUUAUCGCCGACCUCAGGGGUCAUGAGGGUCCUGUGUGGCAAGUGGCCUGGGCUCACCCCAUGUACGGCAACAUCCUGGCAUCGUGCUCCUAUGACCGGAAAGUCAUUAUCUGGAGAGAGGAAAACGGCACCUGGGAGAAGAGCCACGAGCAUGCAGGACACGACUCCUCAGUGAACUCGGUGUGCUGGGCCCCCCAUGACUACGGCCUGAUCCUGGCCUGUGGGAGCUCGGAUGGGGCCAUCUCCCUGCUGACUUACACCGGGGAAGGCCAAUGGGAAGUAAAGAAGAUCAACAACGCUCACACCAUUGGCUGCAAUGCCGUCAGCUGGGCCCCUGCUGUUGUACCUGGAAGCCUCAUAGACCAGCCAUCGGGGCAGAAACCCAAUUACAUCAAGAGGUUUGCAUCAGGUGGCUGUGACAACCUCAUCAAGCUGUGGAAGGAGGAGGAGGACGGCCAGUGGAAGGAGGAGCAGAAGCUAGAAGCGCACAGUGACUGGGUUCGAGAUGUGGCCUGGGCCCCCUCCAUCGGCCUGCCCACCAGCACCAUCGCCAGCUGCUCCCAGGAUGGUCGUGUGUUCAUUUGGACCUGUGAUGAUGCCUCAAGCAAUACGUGGUCCCCUAAAUUGUUGCACAAGUUCAACGAUGUGGUGUGGCAUGUGAGCUGGUCCAUCACAGCCAACAUCCUGGCUGUCUCUGGUGGAGACAAUAAGGUACAUACCCAUUCCCCGUGGCAUGGUGGACACAGCCUGUUGGUCUUCAGCCCGCCCACUAGAGAGGGCACUUGACAUUCCCAUCUGACUGCAGGCUGGGCAGGAGCCUUAGCCAGGACUGCGUUUUGAUUGUGCCUCUUAGUUACAUCAUUAAUGUCACAGCCCCUGAGGUAGUAUUAACACGUCCCCCUUUCACAGAUGAGGAAAGAAGCUGACAGAGGCGAUUUGACUUGCAUGGGGGUCCCAAAACUAUGAGGUGGCAGAGCCAGUCAGGCCCAUCACCCUACUAAGCAUUUGGUCACCUCAUGGUGAUGUUCAGUUAGCUGUGCCAAAAAAGCAAGUGUAUAAGAACCCAUAAACAGAAGAAGAUUGGGGAUUUUUUUUGUCCAUAACACUGAAAAGGCUUUUUAAAAACCUUUAGAGUUUAUGAAUACUUGUUAUGCUGGUAAGAGGUAGGUACACAGUGGGUGCACUG
rnacentral:sRNA from 1 species